rnacentral:rRNA from 1 species
UACGUAGGGGGCAAGCGUUGUCCGGAAUCAUUGGGCGUAAAGCGCGUGUAGGCGGUCGUUCAAGUCGAGUGUGAAAGCCCCCGGCUCAACUGGGGAGGGUCAUUCGAUACUGAUCGACUCGAAGGCAGGAGAGGGAAGUGGAAUUCCCGGUGUAGUGGUGAAAUGCGUAGAUAUCGGGAGGAACACCAGUGGCGAAGGCGACUUCCUGGCCUGUUCUUGACGCUGAGGCGCGAAAGCUAGGGGAGCAAACGGG